UCAGCACUAAGCCAUUUUACCUUAAUGGUAAAUAUGGGAUGCAGUGUAUGGAACAUCAAUAAUCUAGUAUGAAAAAUUAACGAUUUAAGUCCUUCUUAAAUGAGGCCAUUUACCCAUAGAGGGUGCCAGGCCCGUAUAACGUUAAUGAUUAUUAGAAGAUGUUUCCAAAGAGUCGUGUUGCUUGAUAGUGCAGCACUAAGUGGGUGGUAAACUCCAUCUAAAACUAAAUAUAACCAUGAGACCGAUAGUAAACAAGUACCGUGAGGGAAAGUUGAAAAGAACUCUGAAUAGAGAGUUAAAUAGUACGUGAAACUGCUUAGAGGUUAAACCCGAUGAACCUGAAUAUCCAUUAUGGAAAAUUCAAUAUCAAUAAAAUGAUGUGCAAUUUUUCCAUAUAAGGACAUUGUAAUCUGUUAAUGUUUUAAAUAUUUAUCAAAAGAUUCUUUACUUAAGUUUAUUUAAAUUCAACAUAAAAUAAAUGUAUUGAAUUGGAUAAAUCAUUGACAGAUGUAAUUAUAUAAUAUGUGCUUAAAUUUAUUUAAAUUUAGCAAUAUUGCCUGCGCUAUUAUGAUUAACAAUGCGAUAGAUUCAGGAUACCUUCGGGACCCGUCUUGAAACACGGACCAAGGAGUCUAACAUAUGUGCAAGUCAUUGGGUAUUUUUAAUAAAACCCAAUGGCAUAAUUAACUUAACUUUUGGGAUUAAUUUAUAUUUAUUCAAUCCCGGGGCGUUCUAUAUAGUUAUGUAUAAUAAUAUUUAUAUUAUUUAUACCUCUAACUAGAGCGUACCUUGAGCAUAUAUGCUGUGACCCGAAAGAUGGUGAACUAUACUUGAUCAGGUUGAAGUCAGGGGAAACCCUGAUGGAAGACCGAAACAGUUCUGACGUGCAAAUCGAUUGUCAGAAUUGAGUAUAGGGGCGAAAGACUAAUCGAACCAU
rnacentral:rRNA from 1 species